rfam:Pan troglodytes isolate Yerkes chimp pedigree #C0471 (Clint) chromosome 6, whole genome shotgun sequence.
CCAAAGGCUCUUUUCAGAGCCACUUAAUGAUUUCAUAAUCAAUCAU